UUUUACAAUGGCCUUGUGCAACCAUUUGAUCUCGGCCCAACCUUGUCAGUCAUUCCUGAACAUUUGCAUUAAAAUUUUUAUACAGAACAAUGGUACAUUAAUGCUUGAAAAUUCUAAAUUUGAAAAUCUAGAGAUACUCAUUUUACGAUUAAAACGAAUUAAAUUACGAGGGAACCAGGCAGUGAGCCAUACGAGAGACUCCGUGAUGAAAACAGCCGGAAACGUUGACGCCGAAACGAAGGUAACACAACAUUUUUGUGUGGGGGGGGGGGGGAUUACGUUACCCCUCCCGAUGGAGGCGGGUAUCUCUGAGAGAAUUUUUCUGGAAAAGUAACGACCAAACGCGAAAGGACGACGAGAAAAAGUGGAGUGCGAGAGGCCAGUGAUUUGGAAACGCAAUUUUUUGUUAGAACCGACGGUAUAUGAAAUUUUAAUAGAGGCAACGUCCCGCUCCAACGGAAUGAGGCUCCGUUCCCAAACCAAUAGCGGCCAUUUUCUUCAACUACCCUGACGUAUCUCACCGGAACGAAGUCGAGCCAAGGUGUCUAAACACGAACGUGGAUAUAGCAAGCCUGCUUCCACA